rnacentral:lncRNA from 10 species
UCUUAAAUCCAUUUCUGUGUAACUCGUCUCUUGCUAGCUGUCCACCCCUCAAUCAAUCAAGGCAACCAAAUACUGCUAGUGACAAUGCCCCAAAACCACUUCAUAUUUUCCUGAGCUUCUAACCCAGUUUCAAACUCAUUUCUUACUUUGAUAUACCAUAAGCUCUCCUGUUAAUGGUCUCACUCCAGCGUUUUGGCCUGAAUAUUCCUUAGGGACUCUGGUUCAUAUUUAGCCCUCUAGUAUUUCUGUUCCAGCAGCUUUUGUCUUCAUAUUCCUGUUCCUGGUCAGCUUCCUCCCCAUCAUCCACCUCUACAAUUACAAAUCUUCACCACCCUUGCCAAGUCCUCUUCCUUACUCCUAUCCCUAUCUCUGUGCUCCAGCAAAGAGGUAGUUCCACUUACCUAAGGCUAACCCUCCACCUGCAUGUGUUCUAGAGCCAUAAAUUUCACCCUUCCAGCUUCACCUGCAUCAUCUUUCAAGAUCAUCUUCCAUCUAUUAUCAUCUCUCUCUUUCUCACAUCUACAAUGACUCCCUUCUCAAUUCCUUCUGCCCCAUGGUCUGCAAACACACUCAAUUUUUUUCUCAUGUUAAAUGAUUCACUGUAAGGCGCUGGAUAAGUGGUUUUAACUUGUAUUCUGGUUGUCACAUCUACAAUCAGAAAAGCUUCUCACAAAAUAAUGAUUAAGUACAAUAAAUAAGAUAAAGAAAAUAUGAACCUGGUGAGAGGUGAACAGGACGGUGGAGGAUUACCUGUCAGUGCAGGUAAGGGGAUAGCUGGAGUAAAGUUGAAAGGGGAAAACUUUAAAUAUCAGCCACAGGAGCAAACCUCAGACUGUGAGGAUGAGGUUUCUGUUCAGACAAUGAGCACUCUGGUCCAACCCAGGGAGCAAUUAGCAGCAAUUACAGUAGCAGCAACAGCCAUGCAACAUCAGCAAGUAGCUAAGACCAAAAUGCAGGCAUAGAAAUGAAGUAUUUCAUAGAAAACAGAGUAGCAAAU